GGGGGUGAAAGGCUUCGACUCGAAUCGUUCAGUCUAAGAAGCGCAUGCCGAGGUUGUCGGGAGGCCUCGUAAAACACCUGACAAAAACAUAAAUGCUAAUGAACAAUUAGCGUUAGCUGCUUAAUUGCAGCAAGCCCUCCGGCUGGUUUCCUGGGAGGUCGGAUGCGGCUCCGGAAUGCAGGAUAGUUGCGGCGCCUCCGCUUUUGGGGCCCGUAGCGAAAUUUUAAAAAGCUGGCUGUUUGCAUAUCCCGCUUACCGAAGAUGUGAACGGCGAGAUUAAAAUGGUAAGACAAGCAUGUAAUAUCUUCUAGGUUGAGAUCCGGGGACGGGAGUUCGAAUCUCCCCACCUCCACCA
rnacentral:tmRNA from 2 species